UCCAGUUCUUGAUGGGGAAAGCCAGGAAGCCAUGACUCAAAGAGUCAAACCUUUGACUGGAAGCCGAUAUUAGCUCUUUUUCCUUAAGGAGUAAUUUCGGUCAAUGUAUCACCCCAAAUGGACGGGGUCGGACGGAGUUAUGGUGCAAUGAAAAUCAUUCCUGCCAAGCCAGCAACUGCAGAUGAAAGGCAGGGUGAGUCACACCAGCUCUCCAGUCCCUGGCAGAAGCAACAUCUCCCUCUGCAGCCCGAACAGCCCGUGAAUCAGGUGCCAGCCACAGGCAGCUCCAGACGCCAGCGUGUUCUCCUGAGACGAUGCAACAUCCAAUUCCUUGAAGCCUCACCUGCUAGGACCUGCUUUCCAAUGUCUGGACUCCUCUUGCUCUCUUCUUGUUUGCUUCCAAGCUCCGGACAGUCCACCCUUGGCCUAGCAUCCCUCGGCCAGACAUUGCACCAUUUCCAUUUUAGGACGAGAUUUGAAAAGCUGCUCGGUUUAGCUUUCAAUGUUGUUGGAGCUCCCAUGGGUGGUGUCUGGGAUGAUGCGACAGCAGGGGAACAGAUUCUGGCAUCUCCUCUUACUUACAGGAACAUAUGGACACUAUUUUCUUGCUGCUCAAAAUAGUCAAGGCCUGGCACCACCGACCACAAGAUGCUGACCAGGACACGUCACUUGCUUAACCGCGAAGCCUCGUUUUCUUCAUUCCAUGAGACAAGCAGCUGAUGGGUCCUCUAGCCGUGGAGCCAGCAUUGCAUUAAUGGGAAGUGCAGAUUCCUGUGCACAUUCAGACAGAAACAACACAGAAGGAAUGGGAAAUCCCCACCUGACAGAUGAGGACACUGAGACCUAGGCAAAGUGACUUUGCUCAGGGUCACACAGCUGGCUGGUAGCAGAGCCAGACCAGAACCAGGUCUCUGGAGUUCCAGUUCAGCAUGGCCUCGUCUACACUGGCCACCUCAUCUACGCUGGAAUCGGCAUGAUGUGGCUACAGUUGUUGACUGCCAGUACAGCUCACAGGCUGCUCUGGGUAUCUAUCCCUGCAUAGGAAGUUACCCCAAAACUUAAUGACUUCAAAUGACAAGUUGGCAUUGUCUCUCGUGGUCCUCCGUGUUGUCAGGGCUCAGUGGGCUGUUCUUAUUGGGGAGAUGUAAUUACAAUCAGAUGGAGCCUGGGGCUCAAGUCAUCUAAAGGCUCACCUGGGCUGGACAUCCAAUAUGGCGCACUCUCAUGGCCUGCAAUGGAUGCCACCUGUCAGCGCGGAGCUCCCCAGAAGCCCACAAGUGGCAUCUCCACCUGGUUUGGGUCUCUCACAGCUUGGUGACUGUGUUUCGAGAGGGAAUGCCACCAAAAGUAAGUGUUCUAGGAAACAGGAAGUGGAAGGAGUCAGACCAGUUAGUGGUUAUGUCAGGGCAUACCCUGGGCUGCAUUCUGUGGUUAAACCAGCCCCAGGUCAGCCCAGACUCCAGGGUAGAGGAAAUACUUUCUGCCUCUUGAUUGGGAGAGGGACAAGGUCAGCUGCCAAAGAGCCUAUGUGAUGAGGAUGCUUUUGUGGCCAUCUUUAGAAAAAUGCCAUCUACCACCCUGGUCAUGGCAAACUAGACCUGCCAAGCCGUGUGGCUGAACCCUUUGGAGAAAGCUUAGAAGCCUCGCCAACUGCCCAAGAGGGGCCAAGCCAAGCCCACACACCCAUCCAGCCG
rnacentral:lncRNA from 1 species